GACUCUCGGCAACUGAUAUCUACGCUCUUGCAUCGAUGAAGAACGUAGCCAAAUGCUAUACUUGGUGUGAAUUGCAGAAUCCCGUGAACCAUCGAGUCUUUGAACGCAAGUUGCGCCCGAUGCCUUUAUGUUGAGGGCACGUCUGCCUGGGUGUCA
rnacentral:rRNA from 1 species